CUCUAUACGGAGUUACAAAGGACGACAUUAGACGAAUCAUCUGGAAAGAUGAAUCAAAGAAGGUAAUAAUCCUGUAGUCGAAAAUGUUGUCUCUCUUGAGUGGAUCCUGAGUACGACGGAGCACGUGAAAUUCCGUCGGAAUCUGGGAGGACCAUCUCCUAAGGCUAAAUACUCUCUAGUGACCGAUAGUGAACCAGUACCGUGAGGGAAAGGUGAAAAGCACCCCGGAAGGGGAGUGAAAUAGAACCUGAAACCGUGUGCUUACAAGUAGUCAGAGCCCGUUAAUGGGUGAUGGCGUGCCUUUUGUAGAAUGAACCGGCGAGUUACGAUUUGAUGCAAGGUUAAGCAGUAAAUGUGGAGCCGUAGCGAAAGCGAGUCUGAAUAGGGCGUUUAGUAUUUGGUCGUAGACCCGAAACCAGGUGAUCUACCCUUGGUCAGGUUGAAGUUCAGGUAACACUGAAUGGAGGACCGAACCGACUUACGUUGAAAAGUGAGCGGAUGAACUGAGGGUAGCGGAGAAAUUCCAAUCGAACCUGGAGAUAGCUGGUUCUCUCCGAAAUAGCUUUAGGGCUAGCCUCAAGUGAUGAUUAUUGGAGGUAGAGCACUGUUUGGACGAGGGGCCCCUCUCGGGUUACCGAAUUCAGACAAACUCCGAAUGCCAAUUAAUUUAACUUGGGAGUCAGAACAUGGGUGAUAAGGUCCGUGUUCGAAAGGGAAACAGCCCAGACCACCAGCUAAGGUCCCAAAAUAUAUGUUAAGUGGAAAAGGAUGUGGCGUUGCCCAGACAACUAGGAUGUUGGCUUAGAAGCAGCCAUCAUUUAAAGAGUGCGUAAUAGCUCACUAGUCGAGUGACACUGCGCCGAAAAUGUACCGGGGCUAAACAUAUUACCGAAGCUGUGGAUUGUCCUUUGGACAAUGGUAGGAGAGCGUUCUAAGGGCGUUGAAGCAUGAUCGUAAGGACAUGUGGAGCGCUUAGAAGUGAGAAUGCCGGUGUGAGUAGCGAAAGACGGGUGAGAAUCCCGUCCACCGAUUGACUAAGGUUUCCAGAGGAAGGCUCGUCCGCUCUGGGUUAGUCGGGUCCUAAGCUGAGGCCGACAGGCGUAGGCGAUGGAUAACAGGUUGAUAUUCCUGUACCACCUAUAAUCGUUUUAAUCGAUGGGGGGACGCAGUAGGAU
rnacentral:rRNA from 1 species